rnacentral:rRNA from 1 species
UCCUGGCUUCAAACGAUGUGGGCUUGGUGUCGGCCCCCUACAGAGGGUCGUUGCCGGAGCUAACGUGUUAAGCCCACCGCCUGGGGAUUACGUCCGCAAGGAUGAAACUCAAGGGAAUUGACGGGGGCCCACACAACCGGUGGAGCACGUGGUUUAAUUCGAUGAUAAGCGAAGAACCUUACCAGGGCUUGACCUAGCGGUAGUAGGAUCCUGAAAGGGAAACGACCUCAAGCUUUGCUUGAGGAGCCGUGGCAGGUAUUGCAUGGCUGUCGUCAGCUCGUGUCGUGGGACGUUGGGUUAAGUCCCGUAACGAGCGCAACCCCUGCUCUUAAUUGCCAGCGGGUAAUGCCGGGUACUAUAAGGGGACUGCCGGAGAAUAUCCGGAGGAAGGAGGGGAUGGCGUCAAGUCAUUAUGAUCCUUAUGCUCUGGGCGACACACGUGCUACAAUGGGCACUACAAUGAGGAGCAAGUCUGCAAGGACGAGCAAAUCUCAAAAAGGUGCCCCCAGUGCGGAUUGGGGUCUGCAACCCGACCCCAUGAAGAUGGAAUCGGUAGUAAUCGCGGGUCAGCCAUACCGCGGUGAAUAUGUACUUGGGCCUUGUACACACCGCCCGUCACACCAAUCGAGUAGGCGACACCCGAAGUCGACGUAUGUUGCCGAAGGUGUUACCUGCAAGAGGGGUGAAGUCGUAACAAGGUAGCCGUAGA